UUAAAUGCUCAGCUAGGGAGGUGUUAAUUGCUGCACUGUUACAGCUACAGCUGGCUGGCUGAGGCUGUAAACAAACUGUGCCACAGAACGUUCCGCCCCCAAGAUGGUUCCUGGUGUCUGUGUGGAUUGCUGCAGCUCAGAAACCUUUGCCAUGGCAGAAGCUCCACUGAAAGUAAAGAUCAAGUGAUGGAAGCCUCAAAGAAGGUGUUGGGUCAAAUCCUACCAGAGGUAUUUUCUUUCUGGAUGUAGCUCUACUGGACCAAACUGAUACAAAGACUAGAGAAUAAGAGCUUCCAAACAAAGGCUGAGCUCCACUGCAGGCAAGGAGCCACCUCCUGGGACCAGCCUGAGGGACAAAUCCAACCUUGAAAAACAGCCAGCAGGAUGACAUGCAGAUCAAAGGGGUAUUGCAGAGCUCAGCUGCAAGAGAUCCCUUAGAGACUUUUUAAAGCAUUUUAGCUCACCCUUAACUUCCUUUAAAUGGAGCACAGGUUUUCUCCGGAAGAAAAAGAAGAGCAGAGUUUGGUACAUGCCCUGAAAUGCACAGGCACCUGAGGAGCACUGCCGUCUUCUACACCUGUUUGUUCAGUGACUGUGAUGUUUACAAGAGGUUUAUUAUUCCCAUUGUACCUUUAGGAAA